CUUUCCAUCGCCGUUUUCUUCCCCGCCGAGCCCGCGUGCCCUAACCGCUCCCAACCGGCACUACAAAACCGCCGCACGAGUUUAAGCCUUGGCCAAGGGGAAUGCGGACUCAACUUCUCCGUGCCCGAUCCCCCUCUGUUCCUUCUUCUCUUCUCCUUUGCGCGUCGACACCAACCCAGUGCCACCGCCGCUCGACGCGCGCAGCGACGCCAGUCGAUCGCCAACCGCCUCCUCUGUGCUAGCCACCAAGCACCACUUGACCUCUCCCUCUCCUGGUCGCGGUCAACAAGAGCUCACCGGGAGACCAGGCGUCAAGCCGUGCCCUAGGCUCCGCCCUCCUCUCCUCUUUCUUACCUGUGCCCUAGUCUCUAGCUGACGUCUCCUUCUCGUCGGCAGCCUGAGUCCCUUCCACCAGCCGACCUCAGCGUGCCCUAGCUUCCACGCCGACGCCACGAUUGUCGGGCAUCUGCACGAGACCGCCAGCAACACAGCUAGCCAUAACCCCUGUCUUCUUCUCCGGCUGAUCCUCUAUCCAAAGAUCUGGUGUUGGAUCUCUUCCUCUGUUUCGGUUAGAAGCUUCCAGAUGCCUUGUACCGACCAAACAAGCUUGAUCCGGCUAGAAGAAGAGGAUUGAUUUGGGGGUAUGCAUUAGUAACUAAAUCUAAUGCUUGGCUGUGGAUGUAAUGAUUUUGUUUUAGGGCAAUUGCUUCGAAAAUCCACAGCUCCACCUCGCUCCGGUUAGGUUUACUGACAACAAGUUGUCUCCGGCUGUGGAUCACCGGUUGAUCAUUUGGAUUUGGGACUUUGAUUCGAGACGGUGUCUCGACGAGGGAUCUAUUUCGGAUACGAUCCUCUUAUUGGAGGUUGAGACUGUCCAGAGGAGUUCCAGUCGCUAGUUCCCUGCAGGUUGUGAGGAUGUAUUGUUUCGGUCUUUUGGUUUUCUUAUGAUAAUAUCUAAACGAUGUUGUAGACUUGUUCUGGUUUUUGACACUUGGAUACUGUAUGGUCUUGUUUUAUUGUUGAUGAGUUUUAUUUGGA